AGAACCCCGGAAUGAGUACCGAGAAUAAGGGGGAAUCAAAUGGCCGAAAUCUAAGUUUCUUGGGAAGGUCGCCGCCCAAGUAACCGGAGCUAAGCGAGGCCGCAAGCGUAGUCGAGCACAAACGGUGAAAUUCCGUAGCCACCGAAACGUAAAUCAGAGGGACACUUGGAGCUAGCUGGACCCGGGCGUUGGUUGACCCGGGCGAAAGGGACCGGAAAUAAGUAGGGAAGCCAGUGAAUGACGAGGCGAGAAAAGCUCUGAUGUAUGCUAAGGUGCCCGUACCGCAAACCGACACAGGUAGAUGAGGAGAGAAUCCUAAGGCCAACGGGAGAAGGGUUGUUAAGGAACUCGGCAAAAUUACCCCGUAACUUCGGGAUAAGGGGAGCCCCCGUGAGGGGGCCGCAGAGAAUAGGCCCAAGCGACUGUUUACCAAAAACACAGGUCUAUGCUAAAUCGAAAGAUGACGUAUAUGGGCUGACGCCUGCCCGGUGCUGGAAGGUUAAGAGGAGGGCUUAGCGCAAGCGAAGGUCUGAAUUGAAGCCCCAGUAAACGGCGGCCGUAACUAUAACGGUCCUAAGGUAGCGAAAUUCCUUGUCAGGUAAGUUCUGACCCGCACGAAUGGCGUAACGAUUUGGGCGCUGUCUCAACAGCCCACCCGGCGAAAUUGUAGUACUGGUGAAGAUGCCAGUUACCCGCAACUAGACGGAAAGACCCCAUGGAGCUUUACUGUAGCUUAAUACUGAGGAUUGGUAAUUGAUGUACAGGAUAGGUGGGAGACUGAGAAGUCAGGGCGUUAGCUUUGAUGGAGUCAACCUUGGGAUACCACCCUUCAAUUGCUGGUUUUCUAACCUGCGGCCGUGAAUCCGGUCGGGGGACACUGUUAGGCGGGCAGUUUGACUGGGGCGGUCGCCUCCUAAAAUGUAACGGAGGCGCUCAAAGGUUGGCUCAGCACGGACGGAAAUCGUGCAGUGAGUGUAAACGUAUAAGCCAGCCUAACUGCGAGACCGACGGGUCGAGCAGUAACGAAAGUUGGAGUUAGUGAUCCGGUGGUAUGUGAGUGGAAAUGCCAUCGCUCAACGGAUAAAAGCUACCCUGGGGAUAACAGGCUGAUCUCCCCCAAGCGUCCACAGCGACGGGGAGGUUUGGCACCUCGAUGUCGGCUCGUCACAUCCUGGGGCUGAAUUCGGUCCCAAGGGUUCGGCUGUUCGCCGAUUAAAGUGGCACGCGAGCUGGGUUCAGAACGUCGUGAGACAGUUCGGUCCCUAUCUGUUGCGGGCGUAAGAGAUUUGAAGGGAGCUGUCCUUAGUACGAGAGGACCGGGAUGGACGUACCUCUGGUGCACCAGUUGUCCUGCCAAGGGCAUAGCUGGGUAGCUAUGUACGGACGAGAUAAACGCUGAAAGCAUCUAAGCGUGAAACUCCCCCUAAGAUGAGAUCUCUCACUCUUCAUGAGGUAAGGGCCCAGGAAGACUACCUGGUUGAUAGGCCGGAGGUGGAAGUGCAGUAAUGUAUGCAGCUGACCGGUACUAAUAGCCCGAGGGCUUGACCU
rnacentral:rRNA from 1 species